UACGUAGGGUGCGAGCGUUGUCCGGAAUUAUUGGGCGUAAAGAGCUUGUAGGCGGUUUGUCGCGUCUGCUGUGAAAUCCGGGGCUCAACCCCGGACUUGCAGUGGGUACGGGCAGGCUAGAGUGUGGUAGGGGAGACUGGAAUUCCUGGUGUAGCGGUGAAAUGCGCAGAUAUCAGGAGGAACACCGGUGGCGAAGGCGGGUCUCUGGGCCGGCCCUGACGCUGAGGCGCGAAGGCGUGGGGAGCGAACGGGG
rnacentral:rRNA from 1 species